UUCGAAUUCCCUGGGGAUGUGAAGUGUCCAGAUAUUAUCAGGCUUUGAAGAAUCAAUGUCUUGAGCGAUGUCCUGGAACCGACAAUUUGUUGUUGUUGUUUGUUUGUUUUGAAGACAGUAUUUCUCUGUAUAGCCUUGGCUGUCCUGGACUCGCUUUUGUAGACUAGGUUGGCCUCAAACUCACCCGAGUUCUGGAGCCUGCCUCUGCCUCCCCGAGUCCUGGGAUUACAGGCGUACACCAUCUGGCCCGGAAUCAGCAAUUUUAACAAACUCUGCACAGAAUUUAUGGACCCUGAAUACAGAGGGUGAGAGUCCAUCAAAGGAAAGUGAAGGCAUGCAGCAGGAUCAGGAAGCUGAGAGCUCACCUCGUCAUCUACAUUCCAGAAGCAGAAAGAGUGGACUGCACAUGAGAGCAACCAGCCAGGUAUCAGGAAGACCAGCAGUUUUGGGAUCGGGAGAGUAAGGUACAGGCUGGACCUGCAUUUCAGACACUUCUUCCUAUUCCUCAUACUGAAGCUUCCUUAUCACUGCAGAGAACUGCAGAAAGAUCUUCAGUCAAAGGAGGAGGCCCAGCUGUGCUCAUUUACCAGACUCCCCAAACAUCUCUGUUGCUGCUUUUGAUACUGCCUUUCAGACUUUACAAGGAGAAAUGGCUGAUGUCAGUCUGAGAAAGUCAGGGUGGCCACACAGUGGAGAGGUCUCUCUCAGGGGACUGCAUGCAGCAGUCUGUUGCAGGAGAGAUGAAAUAGAAGAGUAUGAAGAAGAGCUGAGCCAGUGGACAAGUGACAUGAGAUGAGGCUGA